CAACAGAAGCACCCUAACACCGUCGUUGUAAAGUUAUCUGCUUAGUGGGCUACAAACAAAGCCAGAAAGAACAAGAAAAGCGGUUGAGGUUAAGUAUUUAGAGUUAGUGUUCAAAAAAGGUGCUAAAGUCCUAAUUUGGGAAAAUGUCAUGCCGAGAAAGAGCAACUGACGCUAGGCCAAAGUGAACAUUCCAAAUUAACGUUAUAGCAAACACCUGUGUAGUUCAGGCCUACGUGCCAUUUUCAUGGACAGCAUACAUUUCUACAUGAAACUGUUGAUUCCCCCAAGAGGUUCAUAUGCUCUAGAUCCAAAUAGAGUACUUCAUAUGAAAGGGAUGUCAAAUAAAUUAGGAAGGUACAAGGGACAUAAGGUGAGAUGGACAAUGUUUGGUGAUGCUACAAGGUGACAGUUCCAUGGAUACCCGACUGAAAGGAUGGAAGGGCUUGGAGAAGGCUGCCCCCUGCCGUCAUUGAGGACAACUACACUAAUACAGACAAGAGCGCCUCAACAGUUACACACUCAAAAGUUAGGGUUUUGCCGUAUGCAACUAGCUACCAUCUCCAACGCUUGUGCAAAACAGAAAAGAAAACUGCUAAGUCAGGAGCCGGACACGAGGGUAAACGGUGUGCCGAGAGCUGGAGACACCCUGGACGAUGGA